rnacentral:rRNA from 1 species
AUAAUUAAAUAAAAUUAUAGGAUAAAUAGAUGGUUAAAUUAAUAUAAAUAUUAAAUAAUUAAUUUUAUUAUAGUGAAUAGUAAUGUAAAUGAUUAUUUAAAAAUUUUAAAAAGAAGAUUUAUGUUAUUGUACCUUUUGUAUCAGGGAUUAUUAAAAUAAUAAUUUUAUAUAUAAGUUUUCUCGAAGUUUGAGGAGUUAAUAAAGUAUGAUAGUUAAUGUGAAAAUAUUAUUAUGAAUAUUUUAUUAGAGAAUAUAUUUUAGUCAAUUUAAAGGAUAUCUAGUUUUUUUUAAUUUAAAUUUAAUUUAUCUUUGAAUUUAAAAAUAUAUAGUUAAUUAUUUAUAAUUAUUUUUAAUUUGAGGUAAGAAAUUGUGGGAUAAUCUAUAAUUUUUAUUAAAAGGAGAAAAAUUAAUGAAUGAUUUAUUUAAUAAUAUUAUUAAGAAUUUAAUUUUAUAAAAAAAAUUUAAUAAUUUAUAAAUAGAGAUAUAGAGUAAUUUUUUAAUAGUAAGUUAAUUAUUUAAAAAAAUAUUUAUUUAAAUAGUAAUUAAAUAAAAUAAUAAUGAUAAUAUUAGUAAAAAAAAUGUUUAUAAAAGUUUUAUUAAAUAGAAUAAAUUAAAUUAAGGAAUUAGGCAAAUUUUAGAUUCACCUGUUUAAUAAAAACAUGGUUUUUUGAUUAUAAUAUAAGAUUGGUCCUGCUCAAUGAAAUUUUUUAAAUAGCUGCAGUAUCUAUGACUGUGCAAAGGUAGCAUAAUCAUUUGUUUUUUAAUUGGGAACUGGAAUGAAGGGAUUGAUGAGAUCUAUACUUUCUAAAUUUAAAAAUUUUAAAUUUAUUAUUAAGUUAAAAUGCUUAAAUGGAAUUAAGGGACGAGAAGACCCUAUAGAAUUUUAUAUUAAUUAUUAAUUUAAAGAUUAAUUUAAAUAUAUUAAAAUUAAUAUUAAUAUUUAAUUGGGAGGAUUGUUAAAUUUUAUUAACUUAAAAUAUUUAUUAAAAUAUAGAUUAAUAAAUUAAAGAAUGAUUAUUAAAUUAAAAAGGAAUUAAUUACCUUAGGGAUAACAGCGUAAUAUUUUUGGAGAGUUCAUAUUGAUAAAAAUGAUUGCGACCUCGAUGUUGAAUUAAGAUAAAAAUUAAAUGGAGGUAUUUAAUAUUUAAGUCUGUUCGACUUUUAAAAUCUUACAUGAUUUGAGUUUAAAUCGGCGUGAGCCAGAUUGGAUUCUAUCUUUAAUAAAAUUUUAAAUAUUUGUACGAAAGGACUUUAUUUGAGGAUUAAAAUUUUUAAAUAAAAUA